UGGGGUGUGUGUGCGUGCCUGGGGGAGAUGCUGAUGUGGACAGAGCUCAGUUCAGUGUUGUUCUCUAGGACUUAGGAAAUGAGUUUGCUAAUAGAUAUGUCAUCCUGGGAGGUCAUGAUACCACUUGUCAUUAACCCAGGCCCCCUGCCUGGAGUUCUCACCAAGAAAUUGUAGGUGGCUGCUUGCAGGCAAGUGAGUGAUUUGCAGGACCACAAGAAUAUUUGCAUAAACAUAUGUAUGAAAGUGUGUAUUUAUUUGCAUUCAUUUGCAUGAAUUUCUGCCUCUUGGAGCUGUCGAGCUGUCGUUCCUUAAUUUUAUUUUAUUUUAUUUUUUCAGUAAAUGUCCUUGCAGUCUGGGAGCAGCUCUGGACACUUGGGGAGUGAGAAUAAAAAAGGCAAAACCAACAGCCGUUCACAGCUGUGAAAGCAGAGGUUCUAAUUUUGUUGUUUAUUAGAACCCCCCCCCCACCCCGAGGAGCUCUUAGAAAGCCUGUGAGGCUGGGGGAGUGGCACAGGGGUAAUGCACUGUGCAAGCCUGAGGACCAGAGUUCAAAUCCACAGAGCUCACAGAAGAGUCCAGAUGGGCAUGGCACUCCACCGGUGAUUCCAGAGCAAGGGAGAAGGGAAUCCUCUUAACAAGCUGGCUAUCAAACUAGCCAAACGCUGAGCUCUGUAAAUAUUAAUUAGUAGUUUCUAUACCACCUUAAGAUCAUUUAGUUCCCAAAUGAAAACACCAACCUUUUAUAUUUAUAAUAAGCUUUAAAAGCACUAGAGCUAGACAGAUAUCAACACUCUGUGCUAUUUUUGUCUACUUUCCUGGAGUUUGAGGUGUAGACCAGGUUGGUCUACAUAGAGAUCAACUCACAAAGAUCCUCCCAUGUUCAGGAAUUAAAGGUGUGCACAGCCACACACAGCAUCAGUAAUUUUUUAAGUUUCCAGGUGAGUCUCAUGCCCAGGUCCAUCUUGGGCCAUGCCUCUGAGAACACUGGCUCCCGCCUCUUCACUUCCCAUGCCAUGGGUCAGUCUGUGUCUUCCCUCUCACACAGGCCCCAGCUCAGACUGAUGCUUUAUAAAAGCUGUGCAACCUGUAUAUACUGUAGCUCAUCUUUCCAGCAUUUGGGGUUGAACACAGGUAGUCCCCUCCUCUAUGUGCACGCUCUGACCACCCUCAGCUAACUGGGCACAAUGGCCAGGGCCUACACAUCUAUCCCACCCUAUGCAGAGGUCCUCAGAGCCGUGCACAUAGGUAUGUGUACAAGUCUAGGCUCUCUAACACAGGCUGGCAAUUAUUAAGUAGCUAUAACCCAGGCAUGUGUAAAAGGUAGAUCUGUGCAUUUAGUAUCUAGAGCUUGCUAAGUUCAGCUUCCCAAGAAAAGCUGAUGGCCAAGCUAGAGACCUGCAGGAAAAUGAGCAGGGCAGAAAGAGCUAUGGUUAAAUCCAAUAUUAAUGGGAAACCAUACCAGGCUAAGGAAAUUGAUCCAGAGGGCCCAAGGGCACAGGCUGUGUACCCAAACAGGCCUCCUUCCUUGUGCCUGGGGUCUUUAACAAUAGGUUGCCAAUUGGAGCAAACCAUCUGCAGCUGUGUCCAGAAUGGCUUUGGUGACCAAUGAUUGCAGAUAGAUAGUAAAACGUCAGCAUUUCCAUCCACCAGCACUUGCCCAGAAGACAGAAAUGGAUAGAAGACAGGAUUAACAUAGAACACUGGGAAAAGGGCAAAAUCAACAUUGGGAAAGCGAGGGAGUGUCAAUACAGCCCCUUGCGGAUCUUUCCAACCCCAGCUUCCUUAGCACAUGAUAAAAAAAGAUU
rnacentral:lncRNA from 1 species